GUAGCUCAAGUACGAGACAGCUUGACCGCCAGGUCAAGAUGAUCCUUUCCGCGUAACACUUGCCGAAGCCUUUAGCAGCCCGAAAGGAGUGCAGUUCCGCGACUCAAAGAAAGGAGGACUGCUGAAAUGCUAGUCUGCAGAAGCAGGCAACACUAUCAAAUUGCGGGAACACCCUAAAGACCUCAACACCAAGCGUCAUGGGAAACCAUGGCGUGGCCGAGCUAAUAGCCCUGGGUAUGGUAACAGCUUGAGGUAUGAAGCCUUCGCAAGGAGGCUGAAAUGGGCAAUCCGCAGCCAAGUCCUAACGUGCUCGAAACCGAGUGCCAUGGAUGCUGUUCACAGGCCAAAUGGUAGUGGGUGACUCUUGCGAGUUGCUUAAGAUAUGGUCGGGCCCCUUCAGAAAUGUGGGGGAUAAGCUUACGCUUCUCUAAACCGUUCCGUAGGUGAACCUGCGGAAGGAUCAUUA
rnacentral:rRNA from 1 species